rnacentral:ribozyme from 15 species
AAUCAUGCAUAUGUGCAGACGUACAGCAAAGAAAAAAACAAAAAAAGAAAAGAAAAAGCAAAAAAAGAAACGAUCUCCGUUUUUUACUCAUGUUUCU